rnacentral:rRNA from 1 species
UGAAGUAGUUGAUGCCAAGCUUCCAGGAAAAGCCUCUAAGCUCUAGGUAACAUUGAAUCGUACCCCAAACCGACACAGGUGGUCAGGUAGAGAAUACCAAGGCGCUUGAGAGAACUCGGGUGAAGGAACUAGGCAAAAUGGUGCCGUAACUUCGGGAGAAGGCACGCUGGCGCGUAGGUGAAGUCCCUUGCGGAUGGAGCUGAAGCCAGUCGAAGAUACCAGCUGGCUGCAACUGUUUAAUAAAAACACAGCACUGUGCAAACACGAAAGUGGACGUAUACGGUGUGACGCCUGCCCGGUGCUGGAAGGUUAAUUGAUGGGGUCAGCCGCAAGGCGAAGCUCUUGAUCGAAGCCCCAGUAAACGGCGGCCGUAACUAUAACGGUCCUAAGGUAGCGAAAUUCCUUGUCGGGUAAGUUCCGACCUGCACGAAUGGCGUAAUGAUGGCCAGGCUGUCUCCACCCGAGACUCAGUGAAAUUGAACUCGCUGUGAAGAUGCAGUGUACCCGCGGCAAGACGGAAAGACCCCGUGAACCUUUACUAUAGCUUGACACUGAACAUUGAGCCUUGAUGUGUAGGAUAGGUGGGAGGCUUUGAAGCGUGGACGCCAGUCUGCGUGGAGCCAACCUUGAAAUACCACCCUUUAAUGUUUGAUGUUCUAACUCCGGUCCCUAAUCGGGAUUGAGGACAGUGUCUGGUGGGUAGUUUGACUGGGGCGGUCUCCUCCUAAAGAGUAACGGAGGAGCACGAAGGUUAGCUAAUCACGGUCGGACAUCGUGAGGUUAGUGCAAUGGCAUAAGCUAGCUUGACUGCGAGAGUGACGGCUCGAGCAGGUACGAAAGUAGGUCAUAGUGAUCCGGUGGUUCUGAAUGGAAGGGCCAUCGCUCAACGGAUAAAAGGUACUCCGGGGAUAACAGGCUGAUACCGCCCAAGAGUUCAUAUCGACGGCGGUGUUUGGCACCUCGAUGUCGGCUCAUCACAUCCUGGGGCUGAAGUAGGUCCCAAGGGUAUGGCUGUUCGCCAUUUAAAGUGGUACGCGAGCUGGGUUUAGAACGUCGUGAGACAGUUCGGUCCCUAUCUGCCGUGGGCGUUGGAAGAUUGAGAGGGGCUGCUCCUAGUACGAGAGGACCGGAGUGGACGCAUCACUGGUGUUCGGGUUGUCAUGCCAAUGGCAUUGCCCGGUAGCUAAAUGCGGAAAAGAUAAGCGCUGAAAGCAUCUAAGCGCGAAACUUGCCUCGAGAUGAGUCUUCCCUGAGACCUUGAGUCUCCUAAAGGAACGUUUAAGACUAAGACGUUGAUAGGCUGGGUGUGUAAGCGUAGCGAUACGUUGAGCUAACCAGUACUAAUGAUCCGUGAGGCUUAACCUUACAACACCCAAGGUGUU